AUACUUACCUGACAGGGAGAUACCAUGAUCAGGCAGGUGGUUUUCCCAGAGCGAGGCUCAUCCGUUGUCCUGGGGAUGUGCUGACCCCUGGGAUUUCCCCAAAUGUGGCACACUCGACUGCAUCACUUGUGGUCGUGGCAAACUGCGUUCAUGCUCUCCCCUG